rnacentral:lncRNA from 1 species
UUUUUUUGGUAACAGGAAUUGAACCCAGGUGUACUUAACUACUGAGCCACAUCCUUAGCCCUUUCUAUUUUUAAUUUUUUUAAAUAUUUUUUUUAGUUGUAGAUGGAUACAAUACCUUUAUUUUAUUUAUUUAUUUUUAUUUGGUGCUGAGGAUCAAACCCAGUGCCUCACAUGUGCUAGGUGAGCCCUCUACCACUGAGCCACAACUCUGUUUUUUAAUUUUGAGAAAGGGUCUUGCUAAGUUGCUUAGGGCUUCACUAAGUUGCUGAGGCUGGCCUUGAACUUGCCAUCCUCCUGCCUCAGCCUCUGGAGCCACUGGGAUUACAGAUGUGUACCAUCACACCUGGCUUUUUUUUUUUUUUAAGUUUUGAGGCAGGAUCUUACUAAAUAGUUGAAGCUGGUUUCAAACUUGGGUUCCUCCUGCCGCAGCCUCCUGGAAUGCAAUACCUGCCCAGCUACGAUCGGAUUUUUUUUAAGCACUUGCUCUUCAUGAGCAAAGUGCUGGACUCUGGGAGGCUCCCAUGGGAUGCAGAAUGCAGUAUGCUGGGUCCUUCACACAGCAUACUGUACCUUUCAUGAAGUCUGUAAUUGUGUCUUCAUGUGAAGGUCCCCAACACCUUGACAAUAGUGUUGGGCCAACAUGGGACUGCACAGCAAGGGAGGCUAAUAGAUGGUGGUUUGGCAAUAUACCUGCUUUUCCUUUUCUUGACACAUUAGAUCUCCUCCCCCUGCCCUGAUGGGGAUACUGAAAUAAAGAAACACAGUAGCCAGGUAUGGAGGCACAGGC